AGCCAGAGCAGAAUCCAGAGUAAAACCCAGUAUUGUUGUUGCCUCAGGCCCUCUGUGGCCAGCAUCUAUCUCCAUCUGUGCCAUCAGUGCCUGCCCCUAUAGGGGCACUAGCUGUUCCAACCGGGUCACCCUGGCUGAAUUGAAGAUAACUUAUAAAAAGCCACAUCUUGGCUGGGCGCGGUGGCUCACGCCUGUAAUCCCAACACUUUGGGAAGCUGAGGCAGGUGGAUUACCUGAGG
rnacentral:lncRNA from 10 species